rnacentral:rRNA from 1 species
GAUGAACGCUAGCGGCAGGCUUAAUACAUGCAAGUCGAGGGGUAGCAAGAUUGUAGCAAUACAAUUGUUGACGACCGGCAAACGGGUGCGGAACACGUACACAACCUUCCUACAAGUGGGGAAUAGCCCAGAGAAAUUUGGAUUAAUACCCCGUAACAUAGCGAUGUGGCAUCACAUUGCUAUUAUAGCUUCGGCGCUUGUUGAUGGGUGUGCGGCUGAUUAGAUAGUUGGCGGGGUAACGGCCCACCAAACCUACGAUCAGUAGCUGAUGUGAGGGCAUGAUCAGCCAAGCGGGAACUGAGACACGGGCCCGACUCCUACGGGAGGCAGCAGUAAGGAAUAUUGGACAAUGGACGCAAGUCUGAUCCAGCCAUGCCGCGUGAAGGAUUAAGGUCCUCUGGAUUGUAAACUUCUUUUAUAAGGGACGAAAAAAGGUCUUUCUAGAUCGUCUGACGGUACCUUAUGAAUAAGCACCGGCUAACUCCGUGCCAGCAGCCGCAGUAACAC